rnacentral:rRNA from 1 species
CCAUGCAUGUCUAAGUAUAACCUUUAUACGGUGAAACUGCAGACGGCUCAUUACAACAGUGAUAAACUAAAGAACUUCCGCGCUUCGGCGUCUUGGAUAACCGCAGUAAAUCGGGGCUAAUACAUAUAAACGAGAGGGUGAGCGGGCAACUGCGAACCUUUGCGAUUGUUAGCUAUCUUUUUCACCAACCUCUUCGGAGUUUGUGGUGAAUCCGAACAAUAUUGCUGAUCGAAAAUUUAUUUUCGACGAGUUCUUUGUGUCACUGCCCUAUCAACUUUCGAUGGUAAGGUAUUGGCUUACCAUGGUUGUAACGGGUGACGGGGAAUCAGGGUUCGAUUCCGGAGAGGGAGCCUGAGAAAUGGCUACCACUUCUACGGAAGGCAGCAGGCGCGCAAAUUACUCAAUCCCAAUACGGGGAAGUAGUGACAAAAAAUACUAAUGCCUUUCCAUAUUAUGGGGGGCAAUUGGAAUAAGUACAACUUAAAUCGCUUAGCAAAAGUGAUUGGAGGGCAAGUCUGGUGCCAGCAGCCGCGGUAAUUCCAGCUCCAAUAGCGUAUACUAAAUUUGUUGCAGUUAAAAAGCUCGUAGUUGAGAUUGAGAUUUCUUGGGUUUAAGCCAGUCAUAGUAGCUUUCGGGUUAUUAUGAUUUCGGUUAAAGCUUUUGAGUGGAUUUUAUUUUUCACUUUUAAAGUUACCAAGGGAUUUCCAACUGCCCAUGUAAGCUGGCAACAGUUUACAAUCGGGUGAUCUACUGUGAGAAAAUUGUAGUGUUCAAAGCAGGCGUCUUACGUUUGUUCAAUGCAGCAUGGUAUAGUAAAAUAUGACACUAAAUAUAUGUUGGUUGUAUAUUCUUAGUGUAAUGACUAAUAGGGAAGGGCGGGGCCGUUCAUAUUGAUGGGCGAGAGGUGAAAUUCGUUGACCCUAUCAAGAUGCACUACAGCGAAAGCAUUCGGCAAGUACUUCUCCAUUAAUCAAGAACGAAAGUUUGGGGAUCGAAGACGAUCAGAUACCGUCGUAGUCCAAACCAUAAACUAUGUCGACCAGGGAUUGGACGGAUAAUUUUUUAAAAACUCGCUCAGAACCUUGUGAGAAAUCAUGAGUGUUUGGACUCUGGGGGGAGUAUGGUCGCAAGUCUGAAACUUAAAGGAAUUGACGGAAGGGCACACAAUGGAGUGGAACCUGCGGCUUAAUUUGACUCAACUCGGGAAAACUUACCAAGCUCAGAUAUAAUAAGGAUUGACAGACUAAAAGAUCUUUCAUGAUUGUAUAAGUGGUGGUGCAUGGUCGUUCUUAGUUGGUGGAGUGAUUUGUCUGGUCAAUUCCGAUAACGGACGAGACCUCUACCUGCUAACUAGUGGUAUUUAUUUGGUCAAUAUGGAAGA